rfam:Myotis brandtii contig273141, whole genome shotgun sequence.
GCCUGUUUGGCUCAGUGGAUAGAGCAUUAGCCUGUGGACUGAAGGGUCCCAGGUUCAAUUCCGGGAAAGGGCA